rnacentral:rRNA from 1 species
CAUUAUUAAAAUCAUCUGAAGUAAAGGUUUUGCUAAUCUUUGUCUCUAUAAAAGGCUUUCUGAUGCUGGUAGCAAAAUGAUCUUUGUUACAAUGCACUCAAAAGUUCUUUUUAAUGAGGCAAGAGAAAAAGCUAUUAUCCUUACUUUCAAGUUCGCUCGUUAUACUUUUUAACACCUGUGCACCAAUUAAGCAAUGUCUUUAUUGAACUUGGUUGGCUCUUGUGGCAGAUAUUAUAUAUGUGUACAAUGUAUUGUAUACACUUAUCGACAGGGUUUCCAAACUUGGAGAGUGUGUAUUGUUGUGGGUCCUGCUAUGAUCAACUUGAGGGAUCGACACAUUCCCAAGUAUGGUAAUAAUAUGGAUUGGCAAACGAUAUGUACUAUAUAUAUAUAUGUUCUCCACAAGGCUGUCCUCGUAAUAAUGUGGACUCUGUUUUGAUUAUACACAAACUUGAUCUCUGUCUUGUAGAAUGAAAAUGGAAAUGGAUUAAUACAACUUUCAACAAUGGAUCUCUUGGCUCUCGCAUCGAUGAAGAACGCAGCGAAAUGCGAUAAGUAGUGUGAAUUGCAGAAUUCAGUGAAUCAUCGAAUCUUUGAAUGCAUCUUGUACUCCUUGGGUUACCUAUGGAGUAUGCCUGUUUGAGUGUCAUAUUUAAUCUCAAUUCCCUUAUCUUUCUUUCUGUAUGAAAGUCUGCUCUGGUGAAUUGGACUUUGGAAGUUCAUGCAGGUCUCAUCCCUUACUCUUUUACUAGUUUAGGGGGAGGUCAGCUCUUCUUAAAAGCAUUAGCUUGGAGGAUGCAAGUAAAUCGCUCUUUUAGCACUUCUAUUCAUUUGCUAUAAUGUAAUAACUGUUCCAUUAUAGCUUUUUGGAUGAAUAUUAGUGUGCUUGAAGAAGAGUUCUUACUUGUAAACCCGCCUUUGCUUCUUAGUAUAUAUUGUCAAGCCUCUCUUAGUUUGGCAGUGUAUAUAUAAUAUGAAUGUACUUGAUUUGACCUCAAAUCAGGUAGGACUACCCGCUGAACUUAAGCAUAUCAAUAAGCGGAGGAAAAGAAACUAACAAGGAUUCCCUUAGUAACUGCGAGUGAAGAGGGAAGAGCUCAAAUUUAAAAUCUGGCAGCUUAUGCUGUCCGAGUUGUAAUCUGUAGAAGUGUUUUCUGCAUUGGACCGUGUACAAGUCUCUUGGAAUAGAGUGUCAUAGAGGGUGAGAAUCCCGUCCAUGGCAUGGACUACCAAUGCUUUUGUGAUACACUCUCAAAGAGUCGAGUUGUUUGGGAAUGCAGCUCAAAAUGGGUGGUAAAUUCCAUCUAAAGCUAAAUAUAGGCGAGAGACCGAUAGUGAACAAGUACCGUGAGGGAAAGAUGAAAAGCACUUUGGAAAGAGAGUUAAAUAGUAUGUGAAAUUGUUGAAAGGGAAACAUUUGAAGUCAGUCAUAUUCUACAGGACUCAGCCAUGGCUCUAUUUGGUCUUGGUGUAUUUCCUGCAGGAUAGGUCAACAUCAAUCUUGGUCAGUGGAUAAAGGAGUAGAGAAUGUAGCACCUUUACAGGUGUGUUAUAGCUCUUCUUCAUAUACAUUGACUGGGAUUGAGGACUGCAGCAUGCCCAUUUGUGGCCAGGGGUU